rnacentral:rRNA from 1 species
UACGUAGGGCGCAAGCGUUGUCCGGAAUUAUUGGGCGUAAAGAGCGUGUAGGCGGCCAGGUAGGUCUGCUGUGAAAACUCGAGGCUCAACCUCGAGACGUCGGCGGAAACCAUCUGGCUAGAGUCCGGAAGAGGAGAGUGGAAUCCUGGUGUAGCGGUGAAAUGCGCAGAUAUCAGGAAGAACACCCGUGGCGAAGGCGGCUCUCUGGGACGGUACUGACGCUGAGACGCGAAAGCGUGGGGAGCGAACAGG